rnacentral:lncRNA from 1 species
CACCCAACUGAGCUUCAACACUUCUUAGAAACAGAUUUGGUAUACUAAGCUUGAGCUUACCAUUACAGUGUUUUAUGCAUGAAAGUGCCAAGUCAGAGAAAACAUGAGUAGAGAAUGGGGAAGGAGAGAGACGGAAAAGAAGCCGUUGCACGAGUUUUAACUGAUGAGAAGCACAUUGUCAGGUUCUGCCCUGGGGAAUCCCACUCUGGCUAUGUCUGCAGGGAUGGUAGAUGAAGAACACAGAACAAGGAUCAUAGAAGAUAAGGAGCCACAAAGGUUCACUCUGUUUUCAAAGGUGCAGUCAAAAUGUUACACUUCUAAACUGUGGCAACGAGACACACCCUGAAGAAAGAGAGCGUUACACCUUCACAAGAAAACAGAGAAACCAAGAUACCUUGUGAUGUCUUGUACAUACCAAGAAAAAUAUGUCCUAACCUUGAAAGCCCAUUUUGGGUGUGAGUGGAACCACAUCAUUACAAAACCAAAAAGCUGUAUCUUUCUCAUCCACUAUACCCCUUCUUUUCCAAAUGGACACCUGAGACUUUGAGCUACUUCAUACAACAGAGUUUCACACUGGGACCUCCCACGUCUACCUGCAUUUCAGGCCCGAAUCUUUCCUGGCAUCAGAUUUAUCAUCAAGAACCUUUCUGUGGUUCAUUUCUUGGGGCACAAUUCUCUCGUGAUGGGGACUAAUCCCGUCAAAUCAUCCAUUUUUGUU